rnacentral:lncRNA from 1 species
GCAGAGACGAGAGAGAAGGGGAGAGGGUUAGCGGAGGGACGAAUCAGAGUAGGGGGAGGGAUGGUGAGGAAGAGGGAGAGGGAUGGGAGAGCAAUGGUAGAGGGAGAGAAAAGGACGGAAAAUGACAGCUCCGUUAAGUCUGUAAUGGAAAAUGGUUAAUGGUGACUGAUUUGUUUUUUUAUUGUUUUAAGUUUAGCAACUGAAUUAAAAGUUGAGUGACCAAUUUGUCAUUGAGAUCAAAGUUAAGUGACUAUUGAUGUAAUUUACCUACAUAAUUUAUGAAGGAAUAUGUAUCUUACAUGAUAUAUGUGAG